rnacentral:tRNA from 1 species
GGGCUCAUAACUCAGCGGCAGAGUGCUUGCAUCACACGCAAGAAGCCAGAGGUUCGAAUCCUCUUGAGCCCACCA